UUACAUAUCAUGUCUCUAGCAUGUAUUAACACAAACUAUGUUAUUGAUCGGUCUCAGAAAGUUGUGACUUCUACAUAAGUUACAUUACGAUUGCUUAACAUAGAGUUAAAUUUGUCUCGAAAGCAAGUCAUUUUUAUAAGUGAGAUUGUAAGUCUCCCACUCCUCAUGGUAUUAUGUGAAAAUAUUUCCCCCUUUUCAUUUAUGAGAGCUAGUGGCAUACUUGUUGAUUUAAUCCAAG
rnacentral:lncRNA from 1 species